rnacentral:rRNA from 1 species
UGGGGAAUAUUGCGCAAUGGGGGCAACCCUGACGCAGCAACGCCGCGUGAUUGAAGAAGGUCUUCGGAUUGUAAAAAUCUUUUAUCAAGGACGAAGAAGUGACGGUACUUGAU